AAGCGUUCCAACAAUGUUCAAUACACUGUCUAAGAAGGCAGGGCUGCGUUUUAUCCACUUUAGAAUUAUUUCCAUCCCCAAACAGUUAAAAUACUUUCACAAAAGUCUUGGUGCUUAAAAGAUAAAUGCUCAGUGACCUGGAAGUUCACAUAAAUGAAACGGUUGAUGAUCUGAUGAUGAAGGAUAGGCGAGAUGGGUAAACUCACUCUUUUUUUUUUUUUGAGAUGGAGUCUCACUCUGUCACCCAGGCUGGAGUGCAGUGGCAUGAUCUCGGCUCACGGCAACCUCCGCCUCCCAGGUUCAAGUGAUUCUCCUGCCUCAGCCUCCCAAGUAGCUGGGAUUACAGGCGCCCACCACUUUGCCCAGCUAAUUUUUGGUAUUUUUAGUAGAGACGGGGCCACCAUUUUGGCCAGGCUGGUUGUGAACUCCUGACCUCGUGAUUCGCCCACCUCCUCCUCCCAAAGUGCUGGGAUUAUAGGUGUGGGCCACCGUGCCCGGCCAAACUCACUCUUUUGAACUUAACAUUUUCCCCCUGACAUUGGAGACUCUCCUGCUACCUCUCUCCUAAGAAAAAAGGGCAGGUGGUGGGGGGACAAGCCCCUUCCACCUUCCCAUCUCCAAGGGACUUUGCAGUGUGGGUGAUGGUGUGGCUGAUCAUCCUCUUUCUGCACCUCUGAUUCUGCUUGUGUUGUCCUUAUUGUGUGGGGCAGGAGGGUCAGGACUUCAGCUAGGGGUGUGCUGGCUCUGCAGUGACUCAGGCCUGGGUGUUUUUUGGUGAAUUUAAAAAGAUGACCAUUUCUGGGGGAAAGUGACACUUUUACUUUCUCCACACCUUCACCAUCCAUUUUCUUACUGGACUUCGCUGCGUUCCUGCAAGGAGGACAGGGCAGAGAGUAGCAACCCUCCUUGCCGAGGCCCAGAAAGAUAGCGUGGUGUGCCCAGGGCACCCAUGGUGGGUGAUGGACAUCUCCUUUUGGGUGCCAAGGCUUCCUCAAGGUGGGAGGAACUGGAGGGCAGGGGACGGUGGCCAGUGUCCCGCUCUAGCCCUCUAGGGCACCUUUUUCUCCCCUCUGAAGUUGUUAGGCUGAUCUGGAGUCUGCUCCAGGCCUGGGCUUCACCCUGGCCUCAUGCCCUGCCCAGCACCUGUGUGGAGGGACCUGUUCGUAUUCAUUCCUCUUUGGGGGCCAAGCUCAGGGCACCCGAACCAGCAGCCUUGGGUGGCUGAACCUAGUGGGACAGAAGGGAGGCAGUUGUAUCUGGCAGAGUCACCCAAGGCCACAGGCCUGAGCAAAGCAGGAGAGCGGGGCAAGCUGGGGUCAGGGACCAUGGUGCUGGCCCCCUGCUGCUCUGGCCAUGUGGGAGGCAGCUGGAGGGGUCCCAAGUGGCAGCUCCUGCCAGACUACCCCGGACUCCCGAGCCCAUCGUCCUGUACUCUUCUCCAGUGGGACGUCUGGCCCUCACUGUGGCUAGCUUCUGGGCAAGUCCCUCUGCUCAAGAUCACUUUAUGGGGCAGCUGGUGCCCCCUGGGGCUCCCACACUCUGCACAUACAAUUUAGGGACCUGGCAGGGUCUUGGUGGCCUGCAGCUUCCCUUUCUGGAACCGACUCGCCUCCCAUCAGAGAGCCAUAACUCUUCUUCAAUACAGUAUUGUUUGAACUUUGAAAUAUAUGCAUUUGUCUAUGUAUUUUCUUAAAAAUUAACACUGUAUCUCAAUAAGCAUACAAUGGAUUGUUCAAUGGUACAGUUUGGAACCAAUCCCCCGCCACUUCCCUCCCCAAGUAAAGCCAGGACAGAUGCUGGAGUCAGCAUGGGAGCUGUGGAAACCUUUUGCCCUGGAGCCAGGUGCCUGUGGCUGUGCCUGGGAGUGGCUUCAGCCCAGGCGUGGUGUCAGUUUCCUGGCACCCCUGCCCAGGAGCCUGCAUGAAGGCAGCCGGGUCUCUCUCUGAGUGGCUGGUGCACCGGCUCAUUUCUGAGUGGCCUCCUGCGUAUGAAGAAAAAGCGGCCACGUGGCAUGCCUCCCUUCCCUCCCUUGCUUUCCUCUCAAAGAGCCAAGUCACGCUGCACUGCGCUCCGUGGAGCCUUUCCCGAUGGAGAAGAGAAGGGAGGCCUGAGAUGUCCUUUGCUGGGAUGUGGAGAAACACCAUCUAUAUGAAAAGCCCCUUGCUUGCUCUGCUGAUUUUCUCCCUCCCCUGGCCCUGGAGAGAAAGGCUGUGCCAUUCAAAGACAGUUUGGGGACAUGGGGGCUGCAGGCCUGAUCUUAUUUUUAUGCAAAUUUUGUUCUGGGAGCAGUGGUUUAUACAAACUCCUGUAGCAUAAUUCCAGCUUGUGUGUGGCUGUCCUUGAGUAGUGAUUCUGAAGUGAUGACUGUGAUGCUAUGCCUAAAAACAUCAUCAGGGUACUUUGUAUCUGUCACUGUGUUUGAACGGCCCUCAAUUUCUAUCUAAUAAAACCAGUCAAAUGGUUCACCU
rnacentral:lncRNA from 1 species